UACAGAGGGGGCUAGCGUUGUUCGGAAUCACUGGGCGUAAAGGGCGCGUAGGUGGCCUGGCAAGUGGAAGGUGAAAUCCCUCAGCUUAACUGAGGAAGUGCACUCGAUACUGUGUCGCUUGAGUGUUGGAGGGGAUGGCGGAAUUCCCGGUGUAGAGGUGAAAUUCGUAGAUAUCGGGAGGAACACCUGUGGCGAAGGCGGCCAUCUGGACAGCUACUGACACUGAGACGCGAAAGCGUGGGUAGC
rnacentral:rRNA from 1 species